rnacentral:rRNA from 1 species
UGGGGAAUUGUUCGCAAUGGGCGCAAGCCUGACGACGCAACGCCGCGUGGAGGAUGAAGGUCUUCGGAUUGUAAACUCCUGUUGAUCGGGACGAAAAGCUUCAACCUAAUACGUUGAAGACUGACGGUACCGGUUGAGGAAGCCACGGCUAACUCUGUGCCAGCAGCCGCGGUAAUACAGAGGUGGCAAGCGUUGUUCGGAAUUACUGGGCGUAAAGGGCGCGUAGGCGGUUCUAUAAGACAGAUGUGAAAUCCCCGGGCUCAACCUGGGAAUGGCAUUUGUGACUGUAGAGCUAGAGUACGGUAGAGGGGGAUGGAAUUCCGCGUGUAGCAGUGAAAUGCGCAGAUAUUAGGAGGAACACCGGUGGCGAAGGCGCCGCUCUGGGCCGAAACUGACGCUGAGGAGCGAAAGCAUGGGUAGCAAACAGGAUUAGAUACCCCAGUAGUCCCUGAGCGGGCUGGCAAGGCGCAU